UUCAUGGAUCUUCAUCAUGGAUGACAUGAUGUGAGCAGCAGCUGUUCUGUCAAUAACACAAUCUUAAACCUGAUCAAGAAAACCUAGAGUACAUUUUCAUUUUUGUUUCUAAACUUGACUUUAAAUGCCCAAAUCAUAGAAACAGUCAGGAGACCUCCAGUAACAUUUACUAAUUUGUAAAGUGUUUUAUUGUUUAUUGGUCUAUUGUAAAUUGUAACUUUAUUCAUUCCAUAUAUUAUAUUCUACAUGUUCUUGCAAUAUUUACAGAUGAAAAUAAACCUUUUUUUUUUUCUUGGGCACACAAUUUCCCCAGUGUUUAGUGUUCAAAAACACGCAUAUUCCCAAGCAAGCUUAGGUUUAGUUCUUUAUGGGUUAGACAAUACAUCAUGGAAAGAGGGAUGUGCUCAUGCAAACAUCACAUGAAUGUAUGUGUGUGUGCAUUUCCUGCUUUUUGUUAUUCGUUUUGUUUCUCUUGCUUUGUAUGGAAGAGAUAAAAGCCUCCUUUUCUUUUUCUUGCCAUAAUCACCACAUUUUGCGGCAAGUUGUCUGACUUGAGAACUGAGAUCAAGGGAUCAAGGAGCAUCAAAAACAAGUUACUUGUCUGGUGUUUAAGCUAUGAGAAUUGGAGAAAGGUGGACUUCUGACUUGCUCAUGAAGGCAGUUUGCAUCUACACAAAGAUGCGGUACUAAGUCCUGAGGACUUUUCCAUCCCUUCAAAUGAGGUGUGUGUCUAAUUUUUAACCAUGACAGUUUUAAUUGUCAUUUGAGCUAAUUAAACCUCUGAAAGCUCCACGAGCAUCGAUGGGCCGUUGCAUGCAAAACUAUACAAUGAGAGUCCACAUUGAAAGGAAGAUUCUUCCCCUUUUCAUUCAUGAAAUAUUAUUAGCCUAUUAGCUAGCUACAUUUCCCAUACUGCACUGCAGUCUACAAACAUGGCCUCCAUGGAUCGCAAUUCCCAGAACACUCACAUUCAUUCUAAUCAUGCAAACCUGCAUCCAAUCUCACACACAAUCACACCACGCAUAAAAGAGACUGUUUGAACGCUAAAUAUUUGCGAAGUAUUACAUAAGAUUCCAUAUACCAAGCGUUUGUUUCUCGAUUCGUU